rnacentral:rRNA from 1 species
AUUGAACGCUGGCGGCAGGCCUAACACAUGCAAGUCUAGCGAGCGGCGGACGGGUGAGUAAUGUAUGGGGACUGUGCGAUAGACGGGGCUAACUACUGGAAACGGUGGCUAAUAACGCAUACUAUCGGAUAACCCAUAUGGGAUUAGCUAGUAGGUGGGGUAAAGGCUCACAUAGGCGACGAUCUCUAGCUGGUCUGAGAGGAUGAUCAGCCAGACUGGGACUGAGACACGGCCCAGACUCCUACGGAGUCAGCAGUGGGGAAUAUGGCACAAUGGGCGCAAGCCUGAUGCAGCCAUGCCGCGUGUGUGAAGAAGGCCUUAGGGUUGUAAAGUACUGUCAGCGGGGAGGCGUUACCCGCAGAAGAAGCACCGGCUAACGCCGUGCCAGCAGCCGCGGUAAUUC